AGCGAACGCUGGCGGCAGGCCUAACACAUGCAAGUCGAACGAACCUUUCGGGGUUAGUGGCGGACGGGUGAGUAACACGUGGGAACGUGCCUUUAGGUUCGGAAUAACUCAGGGAAACUUGUGCUAAUACCGAAUGUGCCCUUCGGGGGAAAGAUUUAUCGCCUUUAGAGCGGCCCGCGUCUGAUUAGCUAGUUGGUUGAGGUAAUGGCUCACCAAGGCGACGAUCAGUAGCUGGUCUGAGAGGAUGAUCAGCCACAUUGGGACUGAGACACGGCCCAAACUCCUACGGGAGGCAGCAGUGGGGAAUAUUGCACAAUGGGCGCAAGCCUGAUGCAGCGACGCCGCGUGAGGGAUGACGGCCUUCGGGUUGUAAACCUCUUUCAGUAGGGAAGAAGCGAAAGUGACGGUACCUGCAGAAGAAGCACCGGCUAACUACGUG
rnacentral:rRNA from 1 species